AAGAACAAGGACCAUCAUGAUGAUUAUGAUGAGAAAAAGAAGAACAAAAACAAGGACCAUGAUUAUGAUGAGAAAAAGAAGAAGAAGGACUAUCAUCAUGGUAGUGAUGAUGACAAGAAGAAGAAAACGGACUAUCAUCAUGGUAGUGACGAUGACAAGAAGAAGAAAAAGGACCAUUAUGAUGACAAGAAGAAGAAGGAUCAUUAUGGUAGUGAUGAGGACAAGAAGAAGAAUAAGAAGGAUAAGCAUUACAAGGGACAUCGUGAAUACGAUGACUAGAAACCCCUUCUGGCCUCUUCCUACAUAAGGGAUUGCACAUCUCCCAAGCUUUUAGUCACUAAUUAAGUAACCCC
rnacentral:lncRNA from 1 species